AUAAGGGGUGACCUGGAUGUUGCCCCUGAUAAGAGCUAUACAUGUUUAGAUCCUUCUAGAAGAAAAGAACCACCACGCUGUGACAUUCUCCCUCAAGAGCUGGGUUGGCAGGGACUUCAUGAGGACCCCUAGCCCAAGGGACAAGAAAUGAUGCUUGCAUAAAGUUGCGUGUGGAUGUAAAUGGAUAUGACUCCAGCCGGCCAGCGCUCGACGGAGCGUCUGAAUGGUCUGCAGCUGGUGCUGGCACAGCUGCCUUUGAAAGCUCUCCGCCUUCAGAGGGCUGACCUCCCACAGAAGACGAGCAGCCGUGACACUUGGGGUGACAGCGCUACUCUAGGGGGCAAUGGGGAUGGCGCUUUUUUCCUGGAGUGGCUUGUGUGUGGAAUACAUGAGCGACAGAGGUCAAGAUCAGGAUGGAGAAAUCUGCAGACAGCUGAACCAAGCUCAUGGAAACUCACGAACUCUAGACUGACAGCUGUGGAGACUCCAGGGGACCAAAGUAGACCCUCCGUAUGUGGGAGACAGUUGUGAAGUUUGGACUAUCUGAGGGGCCCCUGGCAGUAGGACCACGAUUCAAACCUGGUACAAAGUCCAUUCCUUUGAUGGGAUACUAUGCUCAGCCUUAAUGCAUGGGAGAGGGGCUUAGCCCUGCCCCAACCUACUGUGUCAGAUUUUGUUGACGCUUUAUGGGAGCCCUUAGCCGUGAGGAGUAGACUGGGGAUGGGCUGGUGGGGG
rnacentral:lncRNA from 1 species